GGCGAAGGCAGCCCCCUGGGAUAACACUGACGCUCAUGCACGAAAGCGUGGGGAGCAAACAGGAUUAGAUACCCUGGUAGUCCACGCCCUAAACGAUGCUGACUAGUUGUUGGGAAUUUACAUUCUCAGUAACGUAGCUAACGCGUGAAGUCNGCCGCCUGGGGAGUACGGUCGCAAGAUUAAAACUCAAAGGAAUUGACGGGGACCCGCACAAGCGGUGGAUGAUGUGGAUUAAUUCGAUGCAACGCGAAAAACCUUACCUACCCUUGACAUGUCACUAACGAAGUAGAGAUACAUUAGGNGCCCGUAA
rnacentral:rRNA from 1 species